GAGAAAGAGGCCUAAUAUAAAUCAUGCAACAAACGUCAAAUAAGCUAAUAUAUAACUGCACAGAGAGCUUUGACUUCACCUAAACAUUUACAAGCAGUAAAAUAAGUUGAUGCCUAAUCCAGACACGACAUCUGAGGUUAGUGUUUUAUGUAUAUCUUUAAAACAUAUAUAAAAGAUUUUUCUGUAGAUUUUACAACUUAACUCCUUCCUCAUCUAGCUCCAACACCGUACAGGGAAUGGCCACAGGUUUCAUCAAACACAGAGACCAUAUUUG